rnacentral:rRNA from 1 species
GAUGAACGCUAGCGGGAGGCUUAACACAUGCAAGUCGAGGGGUAUAGUAGCAAUACUAGAGACCGGCGGACGGGUGCGUAACGCGUAUGCAACUUGCCUUAUACAGGGGGAUAGCCCGUGGAAACGCGGAUUAACACCCCAUAUGUCAUUUGGGUCGCAUGGUUUGAAUGAUAAAGCUGAGGUGGUAUAAGAUGGGCAUGCGUCUGAUUAGCUUGUUGGUAAGGUAACGGCUUACCAAGGCGACGAUCAGUAGGGGUUCUGAGAGGAUAAUCCCCCACACUGGUACUGAGACACGGACCAGACUCCUACGGGAGGCAGCAGUGAGGAAUAUUGGUCAAUGGGCGAGAGCCUGAACCAGCCAUUCCGCGUGAAGGAAGAAGGCCCUACGGGUUGUAAACUUCUUUUCUGUAAGAAGAAAAGCCCCGAUGUAUCGGGGUGUGACGGUAUUAUAGGAAUAAGCAUCGGCUAACUCCGUGCCAGCAGCCGCGGUAAUAC